rnacentral:lncRNA from 1 species
ACAUUUUGAAACCUGAUUCAGAGUGCAUUCCCGGUCACCCACAUCCUGAAGACGUGUCAGGAAAACCGCAAGCUUAAGAAUAAUGGGAGCGUGUUCUCUUCUUGAUCAUGUCUCAACUAUUCUUGAAAAGACAAGCACCAACACCUUCCAGAAAUCCUGAGAAAUCACCAGGCAACCAUCCAAGACACAGACGGCAGCAGAGGCCAACUUAACCAUCCACACAGAAUGAAUCUAAAUAUCACAUGAAACUUUCUCUGCAAAUUAAGCGUUCUGAGAAGUCAAGCAACCACUGUCUUCUCCUUUCAUCUUCCGUUUCCUGAUCUUACCAGUGCAUCGGGUCAGGUGGUCAUAUAUGCUUAGCAGAACUGCAGGACACUGGACAUACUAUGGAGGCCUCAGCCUCUUUCUCUCCUGCUCCCUUGCUGUGGAGUAACUUCAUCCAUCACGCUGUCCUAGUGGCUUCUUCAGAUUAUCAAAGUUCCAAUAAUCGUCUCUAGGGGACAUGUCUCUAAAUGCCAUUCAGAAGUUUUAGCAUAAUUUUUAGUUGAUUCUCCCGAAUUUCCGAACACCAUGCACCCCAAACCCACUCAUUUCCCAGUCCUCCCAUAUCCUCCCUCCACCCUUGUAACCCCCAAAAGAAACAUUUUAAAAAUUAAAAAUUAAAAACAUUUCUUACCAUGGAA